CACCAUCAGGCUGGUGUUAUUGGGAGCUUUGAAGAUGUGAACUUAAAAGCACAAAAGAAAAUAACUGAAAAACUAGAUUACUGAGUGAUCCAAAGUAUGAGAGGGAAUCCAUACAGCCUUUGCGUAGGACAGGACAUUGAACUCAAUGAAGAUUAUUUCUUAAAAUAAAGUUUGGUUUUGAUUUUGAGAGGAAGGUAUUUCUGGAGUUGCCAAGAUUUGCACUGGAGCCUCAACUUACUCUGGAUCUACAUACAAGUACCUAUAAGGUGUGGUAGUGGUAGAUUCAUAGCAACAUCCUUCAGUAGAGAAUUACCAGAUGAUGUCUUGGACUUCCUUGCUGGCACAUCCACUUGUAAAAGAGCUUUUCUGCAUUCUUGUCACUGCAGGUGAUGUGUAUAUAUAUUUUUUUACCUAAUCAAAGAAAAGAGGGAGAUCAGAAUGAGAUUAGAAAGUAUCAUUAUAAAGAAAAGAGGCUGUGUUAAAUUACAGGAGUGUGAAAAAGCAAUAUUAUGAGCCCAAGGGAGAGCUUAUGUAAAAAAAUUCGGAAGGUUUUCAAUUAGAGGUGCAUGGUAUAUUGUAAGAGAAUCACCACUG
rnacentral:lncRNA from 1 species